rnacentral:rRNA from 1 species
UACGAAGGGGGCUAGCGUUGCUCGGAAUUACUGGGCGUAAAGGGCGUGUAGGCGGAUGUUUAAGUCGGGGGUGAAAGCCCGGGGCUCAACCUCGGAAUUGCCUUCGAUACUGGACAUCUAGAGUACGGGAGAGGUGAGUGGAACUCCGAGUGUAGAGGUGAAAUUCGUAGAUAUUCGGAAGAACACCAGUGGCGAAGGCGACUCACUGGCCCGUUACUGACGCUAAAGCGCGAAAGCGUGGGGAGCAAACAGG